AGAAUAAAAACGGGGAGCUUGCGUAUCAAGCAGGCUGAGAGGGGGCUGAAUCGCCUCGACCCUUUACCUGAUUUGGAUAAUGCCAACGUAGGGAUAUAUACAGGCACGAGG
rnacentral:ncRNA from 2 species